CCUAAGGAUCCUCUAGGAUCCACAAAUUACUCAUUCAACUCAUAU
rfam:Picea glauca, whole genome shotgun sequence.